AUUGAACGCUGGCGGCAGGCUUAACACAUGCAAGUCGAGCGCGCGGCGGACGGGUGAGUAAUGUCUGGGAAACUGCCUGAUGGCGGGGGAUAACUACUGGAAACGGUAGCUAAUACCGCAUACCAUCAGAUUGGCCCAUAUGGGAUUAGCUAGUAGGUGGGGUACUGGCUCACCUAGGCGACGAUCCCUAGCUGGUCUGAGAGGAGGACCAGCCAAACUGGAAAUGAGACACGGGCCAGACUCCUACGGGAGGCAGCAGUGGGGAAUAUUGCACAAUGGGCGCAAGCCUGAUGCAGCCAGGCCGCGUGUGUGAAGAAGGCCUUCGGGUUGUAAAGCACUUUCAGCAAGGAGGCGUUACUCGCAGAAGAAGCACCGGCUAACUCCGUGCCAGCAGCCGCGGUAAUAC
rnacentral:rRNA from 1 species